GACGAACGCUGGCGGCGUGCUUAACACAUGCAAGUCGAGCGGUAAGGCCCUUUCGGGGGUACGACGAGCGGCGAACGGGUGAGUAACACGUGGGUGACCUGCCCUCAGCUCUGGGAUAAGCCUGGGAAACUGGGUCUAAUACCGGAUAUGACUCCAUGACGCAUGUCGUGGGGUGGAAAGCCUUGUGCGGCUGGGGAGUGGGCCCGCGGCCUAUCAGCUUGUUGGUGGGGUGAUGGCCUACCAAGGCGACGACGGGUAGCCGGCCUGAGAGGGCGACCGGCCACACUGGGACUGAGACACGGCCCAGACUCCUACGGGAGGCAGCAGUGGGGAAUCUUGCGCAAUGGGCGAAAGCCUGACGCAGCGACGCCGCGUGAGGGAUGACGGCCU
rnacentral:rRNA from 1 species